UCUGCUGUGAUCUUGUAUUCAACAAGACAUCUGACUUCCUGCAGUAUGGUACCUAGUGUGACUGGUGCUGCUGCUAACUGUGCUGUCUUUCAACUACUUACUGCCAGAUUUACAUUACAGAGCAGGAACAUUUCUGAAACUUUCCUUCACGUCUUGGUUCUAUUCAUGUAUGUCUGUGUAUCUGACUAUCUCACCCUCCUCUACCUCAAAGCUACAGAGGAUUAAAGAGGAAAGCAGUACCACUACAGCAGGGUGUCCAACUCAUUCCAUGGAGGGCCUAGUGUCUGCUGGUUUGGGGUUCCCUUUCAAUUAUGACCUAGACAACCAGGUGAGAGUUCCUUACUAAGACCUAGACAACCAGGUGAGAGUUCCUUACUAAGACCUAGACAACCAGGUGAGAGUUCCUUACUAAGACCUAGACAACCAGGUGAGAGUUCCUUACUAAGACCUAGACAACCAGGUGAGAGUUCCUUACUAAGACCUAGACAACCAGGUGAGAGUUCCGAACUAAGACCUAGACAACCAGGUGAGAGUUCCUUACUAGGACC